rnacentral:rRNA from 1 species
AUUGAACGCUGGCGGCAGGCCUAACACAUGCAAGUCGAACGGUAACAGGAAGAAGCUUGCUUCUUUGCUGACGAGUGGCGGACGGGUGAGUAAUGUCUGGGAAACUGCCUGAUGGAGGGGGAUAACUACUGGAAACGGUAGCUAAUACCGCAUAACGUCGCAAGCCCAAAGAGGGGGACCUUCGGGCCUCUUGCCAUCGUAUGUGCCCAGAUGGGAUUAGCUAGUAGGUGGGGUAACGGCUCACCUAGGCGACGAUCCCUAGCUGGUCUGAGAGGAUGACCAGCCACACUGGAACGGAGACACGGUCCAGACUCCUACGGGAGGCAGCAGUGGGGAAUAUUGCACAAUGGGCGCAAGCCUGAUGCAGCCAUGCCGCGUGUAUGAAGAAGGCCUUCGGGUUGUAAAGUACUUUCAGCGGGGAGGAAGGGAGUAAAGUUAAUACCUUUGCUCAUUGACGUUACCCGCAGAAGAAGCACCGGCUAACUACGUG